rnacentral:rRNA from 1 species
UACGUAGGGUGCGAGCGUUGUCCGGAAUUAUUGGGCGUAAAGAGCUCGUAGGCGGUGUGUCACGUCGGCCGUGAAAACCUGCAGCUUAACUGUGGGCGUGCGGUCGAUACGGGCAUCACUGGAGUUCGGCAGGGGAGACUGGAAUUCCUGGUGUAGCGGUGAAAUGCGCAGAUAUCAGGAGGAACACCGGUGGCGAAAACGGGUCUCUGGGCCGAUACUGACGCUGAGGAGCGAAAGCGUGGGGAGCAAACAGG